rnacentral:rRNA from 1 species
ACGGACUCCUCGGAGUCUGCAGGAAAAGGUGGCCUCUAUUUAUAAGCUACCGUAUCAUGAUGGGUCCGCGUACCAUUAGCUAGUUGGUGGGGUAAUGGCUUACCAAGGCGACGAUGGUUAGCYGGUCUGAGAGGAUGAUCAGCCACACUGGAASUGAGACACGGUCCAGACUCCUACGGGAGGCAGCAGUGGGGAAUUUUGCGCAAUGGGGGAAACCCUGACGCAGCAACGCCGCGUGAGUGAUGAAGGCCUUCGGGUCGUAAAGCUCUGUCAGAGGGGAAGAACCGCCGGGUGGCUAAUACCUGCCUGGUCUGACGGUACCCUCAAAGGAAGCACCGGCUAACUCCGUGCCAGCAGCCGCGGUAAUACAAG